GGGAGCUUGGCUCAGUUGGAAGAGCGCAGGUCUCAUACUUGGUAGUAUGAUCUGAAUGUCUAACAUCAGAGUUAUCCUGAGGUCGUGAGUUCGAGCCUCACAGUUCCCA